rnacentral:rRNA from 1 species
GAUGAACGCUAGCGACAGGCUUAACACAUGCAAGUCGAGGGGUAGCAGGGGGUAGCAAUAUCCCGCUGACGACCGGCGCACGGGUGAGUAACGCGUAUGCAACUUACCUAUCAGAGUGGGAUAACCCGGCGAAAGUCGGACUAAUACCGCAUGAAACAGGGGUCCCGCAUGGGAAUAUUUGUUAAAGAUUUAUUGCUGAUAGAUAGGCAUGCGUUCCAUUAGAUAGUUGGUGAGGUAACGGCUCACCAAGUCAGCGAUGGAUAGGGGUUCUGAGAGGAAGGUCCCCCCA